rnacentral:rRNA from 1 species
CACGGAGUUAGCCGAUCCUUAUUCUUACCGUACAUUCAGCCUGAUAUACAUAUCAGGGUUUAUUCCGGUACAAAAGCAGUUUACAACCCGUAGGGCCGUCUUCCUGCACGCGGCAUGGCUGGUCCAGGCUUGCGCCCAUUGACCAAUAUUCCUUACUGCUGCCUCCCGUAGGAGUCUGGUCCGUGUCUCAGUACCAGUGUGGGGGGUCAUCCUCUCAGAUCCCCUAAACAUCGUAGCCUUGGUAAGCCAUUACCUUACCAACUAGCUAAUGUUCCGCAUGCCCAUCUUGAUCCUAUAAAUAUUUGAUUACCGAAAAAUGCUGUUCAGUAAUGUUAUGCGGUGUUAAUCUCUCUUUCGAGAGGCUAUCCCCCAGAUCAAGGUAGGUUACAUACGUGUUACGCACCCGUGCGCCACUCUCAUCAGGAGCAAGCUCCCAAAUCCCGUUCGACUUGCAUGUAUUAGGCCUGCCGCUAGCGUUCAUCCUGAGCCAGGAU